AUGGCGGCUCAACUGCUGCGAUGGCGAUUUGGGCUGCUCUGGCGACGUUGCGACGACGCCGGCGAUGCUACAACUAUACCGUCAUGCUUCGAGCUAGUGCUGCAACAAUCAUUCCCAAGUAGCGAGCGGGCGCUGCGGCGCCAUCGCCGUGCUGCGAUGGGUCGCGUUGCUGCGAGCCGGUGCUACCGGCGCAGACGUGCUGCGCCGCCGCCGCUAUGUUGUGAGCUGAUGCUGCGAGGCCACCGGAGUUGCUACGACGGGUGGCGUUGGAGCGAGCCGGUGCUGCCGGCGCCACCGUGCAGGCCGCCAGAGUUGCUAGGCGCUAUGGUCAUGGCUGUGUUAUGCGGUGGGAAGAACAGAGGGAGAGAAGACUACGUUGACUUCUAUCGGCGGCUAGGGACACCCAGAUCGUACGGUUCAGCAGAUGGAUGUUGUUUCCUUUUGUGCAUCCGGAUGACGCCUAGCAGGCCCCUUCCUCAGUUCAUGUCUUUCUUUUACUUUUUAACCUAG
rnacentral:rRNA from 1 species